UGAGCGGAGAUAUAUGGAGCUUGCUUUAUAUAACUUAGCAGCGAACGGGUGAGUAACACGUAGAUAAUCUAUCCUAUACUGGGGGAUAGCCCGAUGAAAGUUGGAUUAGUACCGCAUAUAGCUAUAUAGUUGCAUGAUUAUGUAGUGAAAGAUUUAUUGGUAUAGGAGGAGUCUGCGGCACAUUAGCUAGUAGGUGAGGUAAAGGCUUACCUAGGCGACGAUGUGUAGCCGGUCUGAGAGGAUGAACGGCCACAAUGGAACUGAGACACGGUCCAUACUCCUACGGGAGGCAGCAGUGGGGAAUAUUGCACAAUGGGGGAAACCCUGAUGCAGCAACGCCGCGUGAGUGAAGAAGGUUUUCGGAUUGUAAAGCUCUGUUAGCAGGGAAGAGGAAGGACGGUACCUGCAGAGGAAGCCACGGCUAACUACGUGCCAGCAGCCGCGGUAAUACGUAGGUGGCAAGCGUUGUUCGGAAUAACUGGGCGUAAAGGAUGCGUAGGCGGUUAAACAAGUUAUAUGUUAAAUAUAUAGGCUUAACCUGUAGAAAGCAUAUAAAACUGUUUAACUAGAGUGCAGGAGAGGUAAGUGGAAUUCCUAGUGUAGCGGUGAAAUGCGUAGAGAUUAGGAAGAACACCAGUGGCGAAGGCGACUUACUGGACUGUAACUGACGCUGAGGCAUGAGAGCAUGGGGAGCAAACAGGAUUAGAUACCCUGGUAGUCCAUGCUGUAAACGAUGGGUACUAGGUGUGGGUUGUGAAUAACAAUUCGUGCCGUCGCAAACG
rnacentral:rRNA from 1 species